UAAUUAUUUGCAAAGCUGUAUUUCACAACCUGUGGUUUACAUGUAAAUAACUUUUAUAUGUUAGCAAACCAUCCUAAAAACUUCAGAAUAUAAUUUAACUCCUCGAGAGUUUAACAAUUAUUUUUUUAAUUAAAAAGCAUAAAAGAAAACAUCAAUAUAUUCCUUCUAAUAAUUUUUCUAUGGAGCAUUGAUAAAACUAAUUUUGUUAGAAAAUAUUCCUGGUGGCUAUUGCCAGAUAUUAAUUAACAACUUAUUAUUUAUUCAUUAAAAGCUGAAAAUUAAGUACAAGAAUAUUCAAGAAACAAUCAGCAUUAAAUGCAACUGGCUGUUGACAUUGACAUUGACACAUCAGUGUUCAGUUGACAUCAGCACUGAUGUCAGCAGACAGUUGACAUUGACACAUUUAGUGAUCAGUUGACACCAGCACUGAUGUCACUGAUGAUUUUCUGCACAGGAAAUAUUGUAAUUAUGUAUGCUCUAAGGAAUGAACUGGCUCACCAGGCAAAGAUCACAGAGGAAGAGUGUGUGGAAAAACUUUUAAAAACUGCAAUAUUCUUUGAUAAAUUUUAAAUGUUUGAAAUAAUUUUAAUAUUUAUUACUACAGGUUAUUCUUGUCAUCCUUAUUUUUGAUACAACAACCUUUUUGGUUGUUUAUCUUUUUAACCUUAUUUUGUUAUUUUUAUUUUCAACCUUAUAAACAGAUUUAAUAUUAGUGUAUGUAUUACUUUUGUUGAGUGCUCCAACUUACAAUGUAACUUACAAAACUUACAAUCCAACUUACAAAACGGAUAUAUUAUCUUAGGAGUAAAGAAUCUUUGGCCUCUAAUUUCGAAAAUUUUGGCAUGCUAUUUAUCAAAAUUUUGAUGAAAAAUAUAAUGCGGUCUCGUUCAAUUGAAAGAACUUUAUUGUGAGGUGACGCUUACUGCCAUAAAAAUCUACAUGUAAGGAAAAGCUACAAAUGAGUGGAGGUUCUAGUACCCUUUUGGGCCACCUCUAGUCUGAAUACAUGAUGCAAUAUGGGUGGGCAUUGUGGCAUAGAUGUCCUGCAUCAUCUCAUUUCACAGUUGGUGUAAGUGUGCCUGUAAUUUCACCAGACUCCUAGACUCCUAGGCUGUCUAACUCCUAGGCUGCCAUCCUGUGUGAUCCCUGACAUGGUCAAUUGGUAACAAAUUGGAGGAUAAAGGAAGCCAGGAAAUGUGGCAGAGGCAUUUCAGGGAUACCCUUGAAAUAUGUCCCAGAAUUAUGUUGUUGAAAAAUGCCUCCUAAGGAAAGGUGCCACAGAUUUGCCUUUGGACUGUUAUGGUGCCAUGGUUCAAGGUGACCUGGUGUUAAAUGCAGUGGUAUCCCAUAACAUGAAAUGAACUAUGAGAGUAGUGUGCCAUAAUAUAGCAGGAGCAGGAUUAAGGCAUUUACUGUGUAUGUAUGUGGUUGUCAAAUAUUUAUACAAUUGUAACCAUUACCAAAAAUGAAUUUUAGUUUUGCGCUGAAAUCAGCCUGCUUCCAUUCAGUUGCAAUCCAAUUACACUGAGCACAACACUAAUCCAUAUGGAGCUGACAAUGGAUGGAUGUCAUUGACUGUUCAAAUAAUGGGUGCCACAAUCCCAAAUGCACUUCAACUUGAUGCUUCUGCAAUAGUAUGUACAGAGACUCAUAAUGAGAGGCAAGAGAGGGCAAGGAUUUCAAAGGCUCGGCUAUUGUUUUCCGAAGAUAUCCUUAGCCUGGCUGCCAUGCAUAUAAUCUCUAUCGUCCAUUGGUUCAAACUUCUCCUGCUAGCAAAGUACAAACAGUCUGAGUGGCAGGAUACUCUCUGAGCUGACCACCUAGAUUCUAUCAUCCCAAUGGUUCUGUAUCUUUCAAACUCUAACAGCUGAUCAUUUUAUCUUCGAUGUUAAUGCAAAAACAUCCCUAGUAAAAAGUCAUCCCUCUGCAAUGGACUGACUACAGCAAAUGCUUCUGUGUACCUUUUUUAUGUGCAAGAGAGAAAAUGGUGACAUCAUGCAAUGAACAAUCACAAUUUAUUUACGCAUCUGCAUGACACAUACCUUGAUUUUACGUUUUGUUAUGAUCCCACAAGUACCUCUUAAUGUACAAAUUUUUAUGACAAUAACAUAUAAAAAAAGAACCAACCUAUCAUACAAUGGCCUAAUUCAGCUCUGAAAUUCAAAGCUCUAUAACAGGUGAUUAAAAAACAAUGAAAGAAAGUAAGAAAAUGUGGCUUCAUUUACUGUAUCAAGUAAUGUUUUUCAUGUGGAUAAUUUUUUAUUUUUCAGAGCACAAAAACAUUUAUUGUUUAAUAAUUAAUGACUAAAAUUUGUACCAAAUUAUUAACAUAGCAAAAGUUAUUUUCAUUCAAGUCAGAAAAUCCGGUGCUAUCAAAAUCUUUAAACUAAAAUAUUUUAUGUUUUUCUAUAGCUAUAUUGUUGGUAUCAAUUUGUAGAUUGCUGGGUCCCACCAGCGGCAAAGUGGUAAAGUCGCUGAACACUUGUAGUUUUGUCUGACGUUCGAAUCCCACGAACGAGCUGGCUGCAUGGAAUGUUUUCAUGGAUUUUCCCAUGUGUAACAUGUACACGAGCUAGUUUCCCUUAAAAGUCCUCCACGAAGGCAUCUCUUUCCUUAAGCAAAUAGUCCUUGAGGCUUUGCUAUAAUCACAUAAACCAAACUUGUAGAUUGCUGAGAUCAGUAUUUACUGAAUACCUGCAAUUUAGCCAGAUGGUAGAUUCAUACGGGUCUUGUCCCGCAUACUCUCCCCUCUUUGCUUGCAGAAGCCUGUUCUUUUGAUAAAACACCUAUUUGCCUUAUGAUCAGUUUAAUUCUUCUAUACCAUAAAAUUUUAAUACCACAUCCAAACCUAGUAAUGCUGCUGUAUAAUCUUUAGCUCUUGAAAAAAUUUUCAUGAAGUGAACUUCCAUACAUUUAGUUUUUAUUGUUUUCAUAUUAAUAUUAAUUUGAUUCUCAUUGACUUCAUUCUUUUCACUAGCUCGUGUUCACAUUCCUUGCCCCCUUGUAUUUAUUUAUCCAUAAUCCGCAUCGUACAUCUGCAGGAAAGCUUCAGUACUGCUUGUAAACAGUUUCUACAUUUUUUUAAUGUUUGAACAGUCUGAUUUCAGACUUCAAUACUCAGCUUACAUUCUUCGACACUUUUAACAUUAAGGUCACUUUCUGCAUCUGAAAUUUUUUUUUUUUUUUUUUUUUUUUUUAAGUUUAAUUUUAUUUAUGAUAAUCUGCAUGUAUUAUUUUUAGAUAUAUUAUUACUUUUAAAUGCAUAUUUGCAGUUUAUAAUACAAUUCAGAUCCCAGUGGCUUCUUUUUCGAUUUGAUGACAUGAGACAAUUUAUAGCUAAUAUCACAAAGUUUUGCUUUUACCCAUUCUAUUCAAUUUUAUUAAAAAUGAAACUUAAUAACAGGAUAAUAUAUAAAAUAGACAAAACAGAUUACACUAUGGUAAUUAAAUAAUUUCUGCAUGACUUAUUUGCUUGAGUUCUAUUUUUUUAGUGUUUAAAAUAUUGUGAAAUUAAAUAAUAAAUUCUUAUGAAAUUAAAUAUUAUUACUGUGAAUUACUGCAGUAUCUUGGUAUAUGUCAUUAAUCUCUUCCAGAUUCUUGGACUUCCAGAUUCUUACUGAAAGUAAACUUUUCAGUAAGAAAUAAAGGGAAAAUGAUUAAUUUGUUCUCAUACAAAUCCUGUUCUUAUUAAUAUAACAUUAUUCAUAAAAGUGUUCAUAAAUCUGAAAAUCAGUUAAAUACAAAUACAGUAAGUGAAAUAAAUACUGUGCAUAAAUGAAAA